AUGAACGCAGCAGCCAGCAGCUACCCCGUGGCCUCUCUGUACGUAGGCGAUCUGCACUCUGACGUCACCGAGGCCAUGCUCUAGGAAAAGUUCAGUCCGGCGGGGGCUGUGCUGUCCAUCGGGGUCUGCCGAGAUAUGAUCACCCGCCGCUCCCUGGGUUAUGCCUACGUCAACUUCCAGCAGCCAGCUGAUGCUGAGCAGGCCCUGGAUACCAUGAACUUUGAUGUGAUUAAAGGAAAGCCAAUCCGAAUCAUGUGGUCUCAGAGGGAUCCCUCUUUGAGAAAAUCUGGUGUGGGAAAUGUCUUCACCAAGAACCUGGACAAAUCUAUAGAUAACAAGGCACUUUAUGAUACUUUUCUGCUUUUGGAAACAUUUUAUCUUGCAAGGUGGUGUGUGAUGAGAAUGGCUCUAAGGGUUAUGCCUUUGUCCACUUCGAGACCCAAGAGGCUGCUGACAAGGCCAUCGAAAAGAUGAACGGCAUGCUCCUCAAUGACCGCAAAGUGUUUGUAGGCAGAUUCAAGUCUGGCAAAGAGCAGGAGGCUGAGCUUGGAGCCAAAGCCAAAGAAUUCACCAAUGUUUAUUUCAAGAACUUCGGAUAAGAGGCAGAUGAUGAGAGUCUGAAGGAGCUAUUCAGCCAGUUUGGUAAGACCCUAAGUGUCAAGGUGAUGAGAGAUCCCAGUGGGAAAUCCAAAGGCUUUGGCUUUGUGAGUUAUGAAAAACAUGAGGAUGCCAAUAAGGCCGUGGAAGAGAUGAAUGGGAAAGAAAUCAGUGGUAAAGUCAUAUUUGUAGGCUGUGCACAGAAGAAAGUAGAACGGCAGCCUGAAUUAAAACGGAAAUUUGAGCAGCUGAAACAGGCAAGAAUUAGUCGAUACCAGGAAGUGAACCUCUACAUUAAGAACUUGGAUGACACCAUUGAUGAUGAGAAAUUAAGAAAAGAAUUUUCUCCAUUUGGGUCAAUCACCAGUGCUAAGGUAAUGCUGGAGGAUGGAAGAAGCAAAGGAUUUGGUUUUGUCUGUUUCUCAUCUCCUGAGGAGGCAAGCAAAGCAGUCACUGAAAUAAAUGGGUGCAUUGUGGGUUCCAAGCCACUGUAUGUUGCCCUAGCCCAAAGGAAGGAGGAGAGAAAGGCUCACUUAACCAAUCAGUACAUGCAGUGAGUGACUGGAAUGAGAGCACUCCCUGCCAAUGCCAUCUUAAACCAGUUCCAGCCUGCAGCUGGUGGCUACUUCGUGCCGGCAGUUCCGCAGGCUCAGGGAAGACCUCCGUAUUACACGCCUAACCAGUUGGCACAGAUGAGGCCUAAUCCACGUUGGCAGCAAGGUGGGAGACCUCAAGGCUUCCAAGGAAUGCCAAGUGCUAUACGCCAGUCUGGGCCUCGUCCAGCUCUUCGCCAUCUGGCUCCAAGUGGUGUUCCCACAGCCGUUCCAAACCUCACACCUCGGGCUGCAGUUGCUGCUACUGCUCCUCAGACUGUGGCACCAUACAAGUAUGCCUCUAGUGUCCGCAGUCCACACCCUGCCAUACAGCCUCUGCAGGCACUGCAGCCUGCUGUCCACGUGCAGGGUCAGGAGCCCCUGACUGCCUCUAUGCUGGCUGCAGCACCCCCCCAGGAGCAGAAGCAGAUGCUAGGAAAACGUUUGUUCCCACUCAUCCAAACAAUGCAUUCGAACCUGGCUGGCAAGAUCACAGGCAUGCUGCUGGAGAUCGAUAACUCAGAGCUGCUGCACAUGCUUGAGUCCCCUGAGUCUGCGCUCAAAGGUGGAGGAAGCUGUGGCAGUUCUGCAGGCUCAUCAUGCCAAGAAAGAAGCUGCCCAGAAGGUGGGCGCUGUUGCUGCUGCUACCUCUUAGACAAGGAGAACACAAUUCAAAAGCCAAAUAAUCCCUCAUGGAAUUGAGCUCAAGGUUUGAAGACUUCCUAGUUUGUCCUAUGGACUUCAACACCAAGAACCACAAGUUGCAAAUUGAAUAGGUCAUUUUGUAUCAAAAGGUCAAUUAUGAAGCACCUAGAACUUUUCAAUUAUAGAAGUAUAUUCUCUGGGUUCUGCUAUGGCCCAGACUUUUUUUUUCUAUUGUGGGUUUUGAUUUUUUUCCCCCAGAAAUUGGUUUUAUUUGAUGUACCCAAGUCUUAAGUUUCUCAAUAAAGAAAAAAAAUCUCC